UGUUCUAAUUGGUGCUGCUCUUGUAAGUGU
rnacentral:piRNA from 1 species